CACGUAGUUAGCCGUGGCUUUCUGAUUAGGUACCGUCAAGAUGUGCACAGUUACUUACACAUUUGUUCUUCCCUAAUAACAGAGUUUUACGAGCCGAAACCCUUCACCACUCACGCGGCGUUGCUCCGUCAGGCUUUCGCCCAUUGCGGAAGAUUCCCUACUGCUGCCUCCCGUAGGAGUCUGGACCGUGUCUCAGUUCCAGUGUGGCCGAUCACCCUCUCAGGUCGGCUACGUAUCGUCGCCUUGGUAAGCCGUUACCUUACCAACUAGCUAAUACGGCGCGGGUCCAUCUAUAAGUGAUAGCAAAACCAUCUUUCACUUUAGAACCAUGCGGUUCUAAAUGUUAUCCGGUAUUAGCUCCGGUUUCCCGAAGUUAUCCCAGUCUUAUAGGUAGGUUACCCACGUGUUACUCACCCGUCCGCCGCUAACUUCAAAGGAGCAAGCUCCUUAUCUGUUCGCUCGACUUGCAUGUAUUAGGCACGCCGCCAGCGUUCAUCCUGAGCCAGGAUCAAACUCU
rnacentral:rRNA from 1 species